rnacentral:rRNA from 1 species
AGAGUUUGAUCCUGGCUCAGAACGAACGCUGGCGGCAUGCCUAACACAUGCAAGUCGAACGAAGCCUUCGGGCUUAGUGGCGCACGGGUGCGUAACGCGUGGGAAUCUGCCCCUCGGUUCGGAAUAACAGUUAGAAAUGACUGCUAAUACCGGAUGAUGACGUAAGUCCAAAGAUUUAUCGCCGAGGGAUGAGCCCGCGUAGGAUUAGCUAGUUGGUGAGGUAAAGGCUCACCAAGGCGACGAUCCUUAGCUGGUCUGAGAGGAUGAUCAGCCACACUGGGACUGAGACACGGCCCAGACUCCUACGGGAGGCAGCAGUGGGGAAUAUUGGACAAUGGGCGAAAGCCUGAUCCAGCAAUGCCGCGUGAGUGAUGAAGGCCUUAGGGUCGUAAAGCUCUUUUACCCGGGAUGAUAAUGACAGUACCGGGAGAAUAAGCUCCGGCUAACUCCGUG